AUACGGAGGGAGCAAGCGUUGUUCGGAAUCACUGGGCGUAAAGCGAGUGUAGGUUGUCAGGUAAGUAGGAUGUGAAAGCCCGGGACUCAACCCCGGAAUUGCAUUCUGAACUGCCUGGCUAGAGUCCCGGAGAGGGAGGUGGAAUUCCGAGUGUAGAGGUGAAAUUCGUAGAUAUUCGGAGGAACACCAGAGGCGAAGGCGACCUCCUGGACGGUGACUGACACUGAGACUCGAAAGCGUGGGGAGCAAACAGGAUUAGAAACCCUAGUAGUCC
rnacentral:rRNA from 1 species